rnacentral:rRNA from 1 species
GAUCCUGGCUCAGGAUGAACGCUAGCUACAGGCUUAACACAUGCAAGUCGAGGGGCAGCAUGGUCUUAGCUUGCUAAGACUGAUGGCGACCGGCGCACGGGUGAGUAACGCGUAUGCAACUUGCCUAUCAGAGGAGAAUAGCUCAUCGAAAGAUGAAUUAAUGCUCCAUAAAACAGGGGUUCCGCAUGGGAAUAUUUGUUAAAGAUUCAUCGCUGAUAG